rnacentral:rRNA from 1 species
UUGCNNUGGAGGAACUCUGAUGCAGCGACGCCGCGUGAGUGAUGAAGGACUUCGGUUUGUAAAGCUCUGUUCUUAGGGAAUAAAAAAAUGAAUGUACCUGAGGAGAAAGCACCGGCUAACUUCGUGCCAGCAGCCGCGGUAAUACGAAGGGUGCAAGCGUUGCUCGGAAUCAUUGGGCGUAAAGCGAGCGCAGGUGGUCUUGUAAGUCAGGAGUGAAAUCCCAGGGCUUAACCCUGGAAGUGCUUUUGAUACUGCGAGACUUGAAUGUGGGAGAGGGUACUAGAAUACAUAGUGUAGUGGUGAAAUACGUAGAUAUUAUGUGGAACACCGGUGGCGAAGGCGGGUGCCUGGCCCAACAUUGACACUUAGGCUCGAAAGCGUGGGGAUCAAACAGGAUUAGAUACCCUGGUAGUCCACGCCGUAAACGAUGAAUACUUGGUGUUGGUGGUAUUGACCCCACCAGUGCCGCAGCUAACGCGUUAAGUAUUCCGCCUGGGAAGUACGGUCGCAAGAUUAAAACUCAAAGAAAUUGACGGA